ensembl:lncRNA
CACAGGUAGACACACAGGUAGACACACAGGUAGACACACAGGUGAGCACACAGGUAGACACACAGGUAGACACACAGGUGAGCACACAGGUAGACACACAGGUAGACACACAGGUAGACACACAGGUGAGCUCCACAGGGCCCGCAGUGGAAAAGACACUGGCUUAAAUGAGUAUACUAGAAGCUAGAUGGCUAGUUAGCUGCUGAAGCUACACGAGUGGUAAGCUGUUAGUUGCUGUGAGGACGGACUCAUCAGUAGCUGAUUUUAACUGCCUGGCUUCUUCUGCACGCUCACAUUUGCUUUGCAGCAUCGACCAGAAAGAAGGCUCCCCGUGUCUUCGGCCAUGGCCUCCGAUAGCCCCUCCUCCCAAGCAGCUUCCACCUACCUGACCGCGCACACCAACGAGAUGGUGGAGCUGCAGCACCUGAACGGCCGCUUAACCAGCUACAUCGAGAGGUUGCACUUCCUGGAGCAGCAGAACCAGACGCUGGCGGCGGAGGUGAAGCGGCUGCGAGGCCGUAAGCUCACGCGCUUUGAAAGGCUCAUGGAGCAGACUCCCCAGAAGGAGGACGUGGAGAGCAACCUGGCUGCUUCCGGGGGGGUGACGCCUGUGUAGCGUGUCUCCACCCACAGCUUCUCCACAACGCAGAAGAAGCUCCUCCUGACGUUUCUCGUAUGUCUUCCUUCAUGUGCAGAGCUGCUGACCGUUAAAAGCAAUGUGGACGCCUCUGACCCGUUUGUCUUACUAUGCUAAAAAUCACAGCUCAACAUUGUUAAGGAACAACAAGGCAGCUCGCUGAGGUAGAGUGAAGAAAAGAGGAUGUCUUCAGAGAUACAGAACAGCGGAGCGAAGUGAAUGACCAGCGAGAGAAGAGGCCUAAGGGGCACGUGUGAGGGAGUAACGCUGUACAUCAGUAACAACGUUGUAUCUUUACCGUGAAGGACAUGAGUGAGUCUCUGUACCUGCAACAUCUGCUCCACCGUCAGCUUCAUCAACGGGUCGACAUCAUGUGAGGAGGAGCAGAGAGAAGAAGAGACGACGAGGGACAAGAACAUAGAGACUCUUCUGGGUUAAAGCGUGAGCAGCAGAGUGAUGCUGUUAUUCACUCUAUUGGGAUGUAUUUAUCUGUGGUUUAAUGUAUAUAUAUUAUAUUAUAUUUCCGAGAAUAACUGAGACGGACUUGAUUUGUUUUUUGUAUCAAUUCACAAUAAAAUGAACAUAAUUGCAUCAGAGAGGCUGCUGACAAAUAAAAGAAUUUUCCAAUGGCCUAAAAAAUAAAACACUGCAUGAACUUCC